CACGUGAGCAAUCUGCCCCUGACUCUGGGAUAAGCGCUGGAAACGGCGUCUAAUACUGGAUACGAGCUGCGAAGGCAUCUUCAGCAGCUGGAAAGAACUUCGGUCAGGGAUGAGCUCGCGGCCUAUCAGCUUGUUGGUGAGGUAAUGGCUCACCAAGGCGUCGACGGGUAGCCGGCCUGAGAGGGUGACCGGCCACACUGGGACUGAGACACGGCCCAGACUCCUACGGGAGGCAGCAGUGGGGAAUAUUGCACAAUGGGCGAAAGCCUGAUGCAGCAACGCCGCGUGAGGGACGACGGCCUUCGGGUUGUAAACCUCUUUUAGCAGGGAAGAAGCGAAAGUGACGGUACCUGCAGAAAAAGCACCGGCUAACUACGUG
rnacentral:rRNA from 1 species